CAAUAGCGUAUAUUAAAGUUGUUGCAGUUAAAAAGCUCGUAGUUGGAUCUGUGGUGUGCGGUGGGCUCCGGGCACUUGUUGUCUGAGUAGCUCGCCGCUGCCAUCCUUGGGUGGAACCUGUGUGGCAUUAGGUUGUCGUGCAGGGGAUGCCCAUCGUUUACUGUGAAAAAAUUAGAGUGCUCAAAGCAGGCUUAUGCCGUUGAAUAUAUUAGCAUGGAAUAAUGAGAUAGGACUUUUUCGCUAUUUUGUUGGUUUGCGCGAAGAGGUAAUGAUUAAUAGGGACAGUUGGGGGUAUUCGUAUUCCAUUGUCAGAGGUGAAAUUCUUGGAUUUUUGGAAGACGAACUACUGCGAAAGCAUUUACCAAGGAUGUUUUCAUUAA
rnacentral:rRNA from 1 species